CCCUUAGAUGUUCUGGGCCGCACGCGCGCUACACUGAAUGGAUCAACGUGUUUUCCCUUCCCGAGAGGGACGGGUAACCCGCUGAACCCCAUUCGUGGUAGGGAUCGGAGCUUGCAAUUGUUCUCCGUGAACCAGGAAUUCCCAGUAAGCGCAAGUCAUAAGCUUGCGUUGAUUACGUCCCUGCCCUUUGUACACACCGCCCGUCGCUACUACCGAUUUCGAGUGGUUCGGUGAACCUUUCGGACCGGCAAUGCCUCGUGUUGCGCCGGAAAGUCAAGUAAACCAUAUCACUUAGAGGAAGGAGAAGUCGUAACA
rnacentral:rRNA from 1 species